ACUUUUAGGUAGGAGAUACAGCUUUUUUGUGGUCUGAGCAUCAAACUUGAGAGGAGGACAUUGCUGAGACUUAACAUUAAUUAAUAAUGUUUAUUCAUGUAAACCUGCAUCAAAUGGUAUUCUACAUGGAGGAAAAGCUGUGGAUGCUAAAAAAAGAGAACUGAAAACUAGUCUUUCAUGAACUCAGUUAUUGGAAGACCGUGAACUGGGCUGAAUACAAUAUCUUUGCAUAUUUCCCUUCACCCUUCCCACAUGCUUCACAUCUCCCAGACUCCUCGGGUUAAUCCCCAGGACAACCUUGCUUUGAAAGAAAAAAUGUGGUGAGCCUACUUGAAGAUUUGGAUCCCAGAGGCCUCUGUCUGUCCUGCCUCAGCCAGACCCCAGACAGCCGGCUCAAGGAGAUGGACAUUUACAGAGAAAGAAGCAGUAAGUUUUUGUUGUUGUUUGUUUUCAAGGCUUGGUUGUUCUCCAGAAUUAAGGUCUCUGAAAGCACGGGGUUUUCUUAUUUUUUCCCCCUUUCAUUUUUUUACUUUUUUCUCAGCAAAAAUAAAUAAUAUCCCCUUCCCAUCUUGGGGAUGAUUCAUAAAAGCAAUUGAAUUAGAAAGUGCUUCUUCAUUGCUGCUCAUAGCCUGGGUUAAAGAUAUCUGAAGUUGAUCUAUGUGUGCUUAUUCUCAACAUUGUAAAAUUUUAAAAUGUAUCUGCCUUUGUUAAAAUAAUUUGUACUGAUUGUUCUUCUCCAGAACAAAUACUAUGUAACUGGAUGAUUGAUUG